rnacentral:ncRNA from 2 species
CGGUGUGCCCCAGCGCCCGAACCCGGGGCGGUAUGCCGUCCCGGGUUGACGAGGGAGGGGAUCUCGAGAGUUCGGCGGGUGACCCUAGGCGCCGUCCGCGCCUGCACAGCCUCAGUUGCAAGCCCACGCGACUGAGGUGAAGGCCGCUGACAAACCCCGGAGGCGACUCCGGUCCAAAAGGCGGUCCAGGAUCCCA